CGCCCAGGGCGCGCUACACCGCCCCACCGCGAGCCACUCCCACAGGUCCCAGGACCCCGCCCAGCGCGCGCGCUCCGCCGCCAGGCCCCGCCCACGAUUGGCGCCUUCCUGGCCACAGGGUAGGUUCUCUGUGGGGCAGACCCAACGCCUCUCCGCUGUCCUCCCCCGAACUGGUGUUACGCAGGCCGCGAGUUACCAUGAGCACGGCUGGGAUGCUGACGGGGAAAGAGCUGACGGAGAACGGAGACGGCAUGGUGCCGAGAAGCCCGCCCUCACAGCAACCGCCGAACCCGGCCUGGCCACAAUCCACCGAGGAGGGCGCCAAAUCUUCUCUCGUGAGAUCUGCCCUUCUCACGAAACCUGCGCUUCCUUCUUCUCGCGGUGCCAGCAGGCAGCUGAUUGUUUAGGUGGAGAGACCACAGGGGAGAGCAAUGAGGAGUUUGUGGAGGAAAGGAGAGGCACCAAGACCAGAUGAAGACUGAACAUUAGACUUCCCACGAUCGCAGAACUGUCCUUCGCUGCAGCUGUAAAAUUGCGGCAAGGCUGGAUUCAUCCUGGCGGUGGGUGCAGGCCCUAAUUCCCGUCACUGAGCAGGGAUACGGCAGGAAGCUCCACCUCUGAGCGCAGAUUACCCCACAGCAGGAGCCCCUACGGAAGCCCCAUGUCAUGCCUGCCAUCUGCCUUCCAUCUUUCUCAGCAAAGAAGGAGACCAGAUUUGGAAUAGUGGAACACAAUUUUUUAAAAGUUGGCAACUCCUGGAAGCCACUGGAGUGACUCAGAAUCAACAUUCUCAGGACCCCAUCCGGGAUGCCACUGUGUAUGCAGUUGUCACAUCUCCCUAGACCCCUAGCCACUGGCAGUUUCUCAGAUUUUCCUUGUUUUCAAUGAUUGGGAUAGUUUUGAAGAGUAAUGGUCAGGUAUGCUGUAGAAUUUCUCUCAGUUGGGGUUUUUCUGAUGAUCCAGUUGGGAUUAUGGAAUUUGGGGAAGAAGACCAUAGAAGUAAAGUGCUAUUUUUAUUACACUCUGUCAAGGCACCUUUGGUCAAUGACUCGUCACUGUAGCACCCGCCUCACCUGGCAGUUGUGGCCUCUGCCAGGUUUCUCCACAGGAAAGUUACUCCCUUCUCCCACUUUCCAGACUCACUGGAGCAAAUUCACCAUGCAUGGCCUUCACUUAUGCAGCGGGAGUUACACUCUCCUCCUUUACGAGCGUGGAGCCUGCCACCUUAUUUGGAAUUCCUCUGCAAGGGAGCGACAGCUUAAUGGGAUCCCCCGUGAGGUGGUCAAGUGCUGAAGCUGUGAAAACUGGGGCCGGCGGAUCGUGUGGGGACUGCCGCUGUGAUCACUUUUAGGGCAGCAUCAGCAGAAGCGUGUGCGUUUGCAGGCAGAUCUACGCUGUUUCAAAUGUGGUGACACCAAGGUACAGUGCGGGGGACACGUGGCAGGGUUGGGGUGUGGAGGGAGCUUAUUCAUCCUUCUUGGAAACCAUGACAUGGGGAAGGGGAUUUAGGCCUCCUCGUUUCACACCCCUCCUUUCUAGAGACCAAGGCAGCCCAUUGAUCAAGGUCACAUGGUUCCUUAGAGGCAGCUCAGAAGCAGUUUCAGGAGGAGCUCUCCGCAUCUUUUUUGAGACAAAUCUCCUCCGUGGGAGGCUCUCUGAAGGGCCAUGGUGUGCGGGGCCAGGGAGGCCGACUUCGUGACUGGACCCCCACAGAACAUCCACAGUCACAGGGAUGGGACAGCUACACAGAGUUUGGAGACUUGCCAGAAUACUGAUUCAUUACCAGCAGUAGACUCAGGGAUAUAUCGUGGGAAUGCUUGUGUCUUUAUGUAAGUUACCUUUAUUUCUUCAGGAAAACGAAGUGAAUAUGAACUUCAUUAAAUUUUUGCCAAAGGUCUUUUGCCGAAAAAAGCUUUUUUCCUUGAAAAGAGUUAUAGAUGUUUGCUCGAAAAGCAUGUGUGCAUUGAUUGGUCAUCUAUAGAUUAGAUUGGAUUUUUCAGCCUCAUUUAUUAUAUUGGUUAUGUCACAAGGUCAUAAUGCCUUCAACAUUGUUUUGCCAUAACAAUACGAAGGGGCAAGACAAGGAAGAGGAGGAGGAGGAAGAGAAAGAAGAGACGUCAACAUCAACCCCCCAGAUGUCAGCUGGUGAACGUCAUCCGCGUGGUUGGACAUUAAAUAUGAGCCCAUUAGGAAACGUGGGGGACAUAACUCCAUUAUUAAUACCAAUGUGGGUGGUCCAAGUAAGUGACCCACAUGUGAUACUGGAAACUGGAAAGUGGAAGAUGAAAAGAGCUUGUGCUGAGGGGAGAGGAACAGUGUCUCCGUAAUCAGAAUGCUUCAGGGGCUGUCAUGCUGGAACGUAAAUUAGCACACGAUUUUGAUAGAAGACAUUUUGAAUGCAUUAGAAAAGCUUCAGCAUGGUUCCCACCAUGUACCCAGCAAUUUAACAACCAGGCACACUACCAAAAGAAUAAGCAUGCCAACUAAGCAACAUAACGAGACCCUGUUUUACAAAAACUAAGAAAAAUUUAGGCAGGCAUGGUGGCAUGCACCUCUCGUUCCAGCUUCUCAGGAGGCUGAGGCGGGAGGAUCGCUUGAACCCCGGAGGUCGAGGCUGCAGUGAGUUGUGAUCACACCGCUGCACUCCAGCCUGGCUGACGGAGUGAGAUCUUGCCUCAAAAAAAAAAAAAAAAGAAAAAGAAAAAGAAAAAAGCAUGCACGGUAAGAUUUUGUAACAGAGGUGACAAUUGAUCAAGUGUUUAGAGAAAAGUAUUGGAAUGAAAUAUUAGAAAUAACCUAAAUAUUCAAGAACAGGCAAUUAUCAAAAGUGUUAUGGCAUAUGCAUAAAGUGAAAUACUUUGAAAUCAUUAUGUAUUAUGAUGGGAGAAAUACGAAAACUUAAUGAAAUAUAGUUCUCGUGCCCUAAUUGUUGUAUAUGUCACCAUUCUAUGGCAAUACAUGAAGGAUGUCUUAUUUUUUAUUUUUAUUUUUCCAUAUAUUGAAGUAUGAUUUACACAAAGCAAUGACCACAAAUCUCAAACAUGAAGCUCAGUGGACUUUCCCCAUGUGUACAACUGUGUGCACACUACCCAGGUAUAGGCAUUGAACACACAUACCACAAAGGCUGAUCCCUGCUCCCUCCUGGCCAGCAGCCCUGGGAGCAAACAUCACCACAACCUGUUCUGAAGAUUCAUUUCACUUCUAUUUUGAAUUUCAUAUGAAUAUGUAUCUUUGUUAUCAUAUGUAUUAUCUUGCUUCUGGCUUCUGUCAAGGAACAUUAUAGCUGUGAGAUUCAUAUUUUUGCAGCAUAGUUUAUUAUAUUUUCUGUUGCAACAUGGUAUUCCACUGUGCAACAUAUUUAUCCAUUUAACUAUAGCUGAACAUUUAGAUUCUUUAUAGUUUUUUAGCUCUUAUCAAUAAAAUUGCUAUAAACAUUUUUGUGUCUGUAUUUUGGUGGGCAUAGCAGUCAUUUAUACUGGGAGUAGUGGAAUUGCUAACUCACAACUCUGCGUGUGUGUGUGUACAUGUUUCUCUGUUGUAGAUAUCACCACUUUUCCAAAGUGGUUGCACCACUUUCUAUGCCCAUGGAUGGUGCAAAGCUGCUUAUGUAUUUAUGAGCUACGUGGACACCUCUUUCAUAACACACAUGCGCACAGACAUCGCCUUGCUUUCUCACUCUCGUAUGUCUUUUCAUAAAUAAAAGUAAGCUUUUAAUCAAGUUCGACUUAUUCAUUCCUUCAUUUAUUGUCGCCAUUUUUAGAAGAUGCAAUUAUUUGUAUUUUUGAAAUUUCGAUAUAUCAAACUUAUGGAAAUAUUGUAAGAAUAAUUUUUAAAACUGUCGACAAUGUGUUACCCAGACACACCAACUGGUACAUUUUGCCCCAUCACGUUAUCUAUCUAUCAUCUAUCUAUCUAUCUAUCAUCUAUUGAUCAUCUAUCUAUCAUCUAUCUAUCGUCUAUCUAUCUAUCAUCUAUCUACCUACCUAAUCAUCUAUCUUACCAUCUAUCUAUCAUCUAUCUAAUGAUCUCUCAACCUAAUCAUCUAUCUAUCAUCUAUCUAUCUAUCUUUUUCUGAUCCAUUUGAGACUAAGUUGUGGACAUAGUGGUUCUUUAAUUUUUACAUACUUCAUUGUGUAUUUCCUGACAGCCUAAGCACAGCUAUCACUAUUGGGAAAUAUAAUUGUAAUGCAAUACUAUGAUCUAAUCCACUAUCUGUAUACUAAAUUAAGUACUAUAUUAUCUAGUGCACAAUUUAUUAAUACACAACAAUAUCCUUGACAGCUUCUCUUUUCAGAGUCCUGGAACAAGACCUGGGGCAUGACCUGCUGCACGUGUGGUGGCACCUGCCGUCCGCCGUGUGGUCGCACCUGCCGUCCGCCGUGUGGUGGCACCUGCCGUCCGCCGUGUGGUGGCACCUGCCGUCCUCUCUCACGCAGAGCAGCUCCUCGGGAGGUCUUUAUCUCUCUUACCUCGACACCCUCCGAGUUCAGCCCAGUGAUUUCUUCCAGCCCCUCAGUCUGGGUUUGUCUGAUGCCUCCUCGACGUCCCAUCCAGGUGUAGUCUGUGCAGCAGCAGCACCACCGAAGCCCCAGUGGCCUCUCCAGGCUUCCUGUUAAUACCCCGUGCAGACGAGGCCGUCCUGCCUCCAUGCUGAGGCUGACUUUGAUCACGUGGUCAAGGGGCUGUUGGCCAGUUUUCUCCACCAAAGUUAGAACCUUUCCUUUUGUAACUAAUAAGUAACUCGUGGGAAGAUACUUUUUGUCCUGUUUCUCUUCAUUCAGGAUUUUCUUAGCUCACCACCCAUUCCUUCUAUAUUUAUUUGCUAUCAUUCUGCUGUGAGUGAAAACUUUUCCUUUUCAUUUAUUUAAUCAGUCACUCAUUAACACCAUUUAUUUAUUUGUUUCAAUCAUAUCAGUAUAGACUUAUAGAGUCUUUUUUGUUUUUCCUUUUUGCAGCGACAGGUCUGGCUGGGUGCCCAGGCUGGCCUCAAACUCCUGGGCUCAGGGGAUCCUCUGGCCUCUGCGGUGCUACCACACCAGGCUAAACUCAUGGAUUUUUAUCAUGUUAAUUAUCACAAUACUUUACUACAGUCACUCAGUUUGGCUGUAAAACGCUCCCAGCUCUGGCUGGUGGGAGCCUCUUUGAGCUGCUUAAGUGUCUCUGAACAUGCACCAGUGUUCUCUGAAGACUUCCUCGCUCUCUAAGGCAUUGAGACUCCCCGGCCGUGGUCUUGGGCUCAGCAUUUUCUCCAGGGACGCUGGUUCUCGUCAGUGGAGAAUGAGAUUUGGAAACCAAGCUCUGGACCCUGGGUGAGCUCGUUGCUCCUGGGCCCUCUCAGCAGGCAGAGCCAGAUGAUACGUGUUUAGGAGGCUGAAACUUCUCCGAAGUAACGUAGUCCAUGCAUGUCCAUGCCCUCCCUGGCAAUCAUAGACAGACCACUCUCCUCAAGAUACUUCCCACGUGUUAAGCAAGUUGGCUUCAGAAUUGCUAACUCACUCCCCUGCACAAAGCAGGUGACUGGUGUUCAGCCCUUGUUCCGUUGUGGAGACAGAAUUUACACACAGUGAGAUGCUCAGUGCUUCUGUGUGUGACUCAGUGACUUUGGCAAUGUGGCCACCGAGGAACCCACAUUCCCAUCAAGACACAGAGCAUUUCUGUCACCUGAGAAAGUCCCACUUGGGACACUUUUAUCCCUAAUGAACAAGUGUUUGUAGUUCUAGUGGCCACCGAUCUGACAGCCAGAGCUUACCGACGCCGAGCUCCCCACGUCCUGUUGGGUGCAUCCCUGGGGGCAGGUGUCACAUGAGGCCACUGCCCACCUGCCCCAGAGAUCACUGAGCAUCUCCGCCUUUCGGUUUUUCCUCCCCAGUUCCCAUUUGCCUGGUCUCUUUCCGGAGCUCCACUUUGUGAAAAUUCACAGAUGCUGCUACUCUACAAGAGAAUACGGAGGCCGAGAAGCCGCCACGGGAGUUUCUGGUGUCCACACAUCAGAGCCUUGCUCAGUCCACCACGCGGGAAGAAAGGUCUUCUUCCCAAACCUGUGUCCUGCGUCUCCGUCCUCGUCUCUCUGUUUUAGAUGGUUAAUCUUGAAAUGUUUACUUUUAAAUCAUGUACACAUUUACAUAACUGAAAGCACUGAUCCAUUCUACAAUUCUUAUUUUUGAAAAGGCCAGAGCCUUUGUGACAUUCAUCAAUCUCUUUUUCUCACAGAAAAUUAUUUUCACCAUUUGCCACUUCUUUUUCUUUUUUAAUUGAAAUUGAAUUCAUAGAAGACAAAAUUAUCCACUUUACAGUGUCCACUGCGGUGGCAUCUAGUACAUUCACAGUGUCCUACAGCCACCAUCUCUCUCGAGGUUCACGAUUUUUCAUCACCCCAGCACACCCUGGACCCGUGACUCCAUUCGCCUUCUCCAGACUCGGCACUAAUCUGCUUUUCAUCUCUGCAGAUAUGCAAAGCGUCAAAUGGUUAUGCUAAGAAUAAGAACAUGGGCAUUGGGACGGCACAUCCACGUGGAUUUAAGGAUUGAUUUGCCACUUUAUUAAUCAUAGACCUUUGAGCAGUGACGUUCCUUCCAUAUGCCUCAGUUUUCUGUCCAGUAAGUGGGGAGACAUCGUACCCAUCUCCUGAGGAUGCUGGGGUGAAAAGCGAGACCCCACAAGCAGCACAGUGACUGCCGGCGACGGCUAGCUCUUGUUCUUGGGAACCAAAAUGCUCUGUGCGAGUUAAGGAACACUCACCAUUUUAUUUGUAUCUCACAAUGAUCUCAUGGUAGAAACACUUUUGUCUUUAGGGCCAGAGAAGGCAAGGUCCAGGCUGCUCUCAGUCCCACGGGGUCAACUCAAAGUGUGAGCUCAGACCGCCUGGGUCCAAUUCCAGGGCUCACUCUGGGAGCCCACACCCCCCUGCUGGACAGUCUGUCCCCCAGCCCCUCCCCAGGUGUAUAUAUCUAUGUGUGCAUGUGUGCAGGGGUGUAGUGUGUGUAUGUGUGUGCAUGUGAGUACAUGUGUGUGGGAGUGCUUGUGCCUG